GCGAGCCUGAUCAGCCAUGCCGCGUGUGUGAAGAAGGCCUUCGGGUUGUAAAGCACUUUCAGUGAGGAAGAAAGCCUUGAGGUUAAUACCCUCGAGGGAGGACAUCACUCACAGAAGAAGCACCGGCUAACUCCGUGCCAGCAGCCGCGGUAAUACGGAGGGUGCGAGCGUUAAUCGGAAUUACUGGGCGUAAAGCGCGCGUAGGCGGCUUGAUAAGCCGGUUGUGAAAGCCCCGGGCUCAACCUGGGAACGGCAUCCGGAACUGUCAGGCUAGAGUGCAGGAGAGGAAGGUAGAAUUCCCGGUGUAGCGGUGAAAUGCGUAGAGAUCGGGAGGAAUACCAGUGGCGAAGGCGGCCUUCUGGACUGACACUGACGCUGAGGUGCGAAAGCGUGGGUAGCAAACAGGAUUAGAUACCCUGGUAGUCCACGCCGUAAACGAUGUCGACUAGCCGUUGGGCUCCUUGAGAGCUUUGUGGCGCAGUUAACGCGAUAAGUCGACCGCCUGGGGAGUACGGCCGCAAGGUUAAAACUCAAAUGAAUUGACGGGGGCCCGCACAAGCGGUGGAGCAUGUGGUUUAAUUCGAUGCAACGCGAAGAACCUUACCUACCCUUGACAUCGAGAGAACUUUCCAGAGAUGGAUUGGUGCCUUCGGGAACUCUCAGACAGGUGCUGCAUGGCUGUCGUCAGCUCGUGUUGUGAAAUGUUGGGUUAAGUCCCGUAACGAGCGCAACCCUUGUCCCUAUUUGCCAGCGAUUCGGUCGGGAACUCUAGGGAGACUGCCGGUGACAAACCGGAGGAAGGUGGGGACGACGUCAAGUCAUCAUGGCCCUUACGGGUAGGGCUACACACGUGCUACAAUGGCCGGUACAAUGGGUUGCGAAUCCGCGAGGUGGAGCUAAUCCCAUAAAGCCGGUCUCAGUCCGGAU
rnacentral:rRNA from 1 species